GACUAAGCUCUGGUCCUUGGGGUUGUACUUUACCCACUAAGGUGUCUCCCUGAGACCCGUUUCUUUACUGUUUCAUUCUUUCUCCUACUCAUUUGGUAUGUUCCCAAUAUAAAGGCAAAAGGACAUCCAGAUUCCCAGAGAGCUGCCAUGUUGAGUGGGUCUUCUCCUGAGGUAUUUGGAGCUUCGUUGUUAUUUUGCCUGUUUUUCCUGUAAGCUGGCAUGGUGGCUCAGGCUGGAAUCCUAGCACUCUGAACCCUGAGGCCGUCGGAGGUUGAAUUCCAGCCCAGUUUACAUGGUAAAAUCUUGUCUCAAAAGAAAAACAUAAAAUAGUAGUUGGAGAGCACUUGCUGCUCCUGGAGAGGACCUGAGUUUUGUCCCCAGCACCCCACCAUGCGGCUCACAACUGCCAGUAACUCUAGCUGCAGGGGACCCAGAGCUCUGCUGGACUUCAUGGGCUCUGCACAGAGAAGUGCACAAACCCUUGCCAGGCAGCGGUGGCACACACCUUUAAUUCUAGUACCAAGGAGGCAGAGACAGGAAGAUCUCUGUGAGUUCCAGGCCAACCUGGUCUAUAGAGUGAGUUCCAAGCCAGACAGGGCUACACAGAGAGACCCUGUCUUGAAACCCACCCGUAAAACCCACCCCCAAAGUGUACAUACCCAAAGGCACAUACACACAGAACUUAAAAAUAAAGUAAGCCUUUGGUGGGAGUUGUUUUUAUUUUUUGCUUUGCUUUGCUUUGCUUUGCUUUGCUUUGCUUUGCUUUGCUUUGCUUUGCUUUGCUUUGCUUUGCUUUGCUUUGCUUUUGUUGAGACAGGGUCUCACUAUGUAGUUCUGGCUAUCCUGGAACUCUUUAUAUAUAUAUACCAGACUGGUCUAAACUCAUACAGAUUCACCUGCCUCUGCCACUCUGCCACUCUGCCUCUCUGCCACUCUGUUACUCUGCCUCUCUGUCACUCUGCCUCUCUGCCUCCCUGUCUCUCUGCCACUCUGUCUCCCUGCCUCCCUGCCUCCCUGCCUCCCUGCCUCCCUGCCUCCCUGCCUCUCUGCCUCUGCCCAGCCUCUAGGUGAUUUUCCCCCUCAUUAUAAGCCUGCUUCUUUCCUUCCUUGUCCUCAGCCCAGGAAGCUUGCUUGUUGCAGGUCUUUCUGAGACCUGGGAUCCCUCUCCUACUUGCCUAGAGCAGUCUGCAUGCUGAGAGCUCUAGGGAGAGGGAGAGGCAGGACCAGACCUGUAGGCCCACUGUUCUUACUGUCACCAACCUGCCAACCUGAGUGUGCCUCAGUGCAGGUCUCCAAUUGAGAAAAAACGGUGAAGAGCAGAAGAAUGGGGUCUUUGCUCAGUCUACUUAGCCAGAUUUUUAAAAUGAUAAAACAUGUCACUUGGCAGUGGCUGUGUAAAGAUGGGCAGAAAGGAAAGCGGAUCUCCCUCGCUCCAUUUGUUCUACACAAAGAUGACCUUCUCCUCUCUGUCUAUGCCAUUCUCAGAAGGACAACAGGGUGUUUCAAUCUGAGCACUUUCAUUUGGAAAGAUAAUGUUCGGCCCACAUUCGUAAAGCAUAGUUCAGUUCAGUAGGAGCCGACUUAUGUACUCAUUGAAACUACAUUCGAGAAGAGAAAAUUAUGGCAAAAUAAUAUAGCAACUAGUAUAUCUCUAACAUCCCCACAGUUGAAGAAAGCAGAGAGUACGCACUAUUCCCAUCCUUCCAGCCUUGCAAGUGGCCAGAGUAAGGAGCCUUGCAAAUCGUGGGAAGGAAGAGUGGCCCUGAGGUGGGUGGAUGGAGGAUGGGUGGUACCUGGAUUUGGUUCUUUGGAAAAUCUUCCAGUUCACUCUGUUGUAUGAAACCUCCUUAUCAAGCCAGAGCCCUGACUUCAGGUCUCACCGUGCUUGACUAACAUGGCUGAGGAAAAGGCUGUAUACUGUAGCAGGAGGCCCGAGGAGGUACCUGUGGAUUUAACAGAGACACAGCUUGCCUCUAAGGCCACAUUUGGUCUAUUUCUGGAUGUGGAGUCACUAUUUUUAUAACUAAUACCAGCCUCUAUAACACUCGCUUGUUCAUGACUAGCACUGGCUUGUCAUUCAGGAAAAGGCCAGUAACAUGAUCAAGUUCCUAUUUGAAUAUGGCAGGCCCCACAGAGGCAGGGGAGUGAAUGUUUGGGGACAGAGCAGAAUUGGUUGAAUGGUGAGCCAUUGUGUGCAGCCCUGAACCUCUGCCCCUGGUGUGUUAUGAGCAGGAGGUGGAGAUGGAGUAGAAUUCAAAAGAGAAAUCAGACUGCUCCCAGCGAUUAGAGCUUGGCUCAGAAGCCCUGGUUCUUAGAGCUCUCAAGAGAGACAAGAUGGUACAAGCAGAUUCCAAGGCUAGCAGAGCUGUGCGGGAAGCCUGGGUCCGACAGCCUGUGCAUCUUUCCCUCUGUUAAAUAACCAUCCUUCUGUGCAGUGCUUUUGGUGGACAAGCUUGUGUAGUCUCUAAUACAGCUUUUCAUUUGCUCGAUUUUACCUCUGGAGUUUUAUUUUCUUUGGAAGUAAGGUCUCAGUAUUUAACCUAGGCUAGACUAGAAUUCAAAACCCUCAUGCCCUAGCCUUCUGGAUUUUGGGAUUACAGGCAUAUGCAACGCUUCAAACUUAAGAUUUUGAAAGUAAAUAAUGUAAUUUUUGAGUGGGAAAAUGGUCUGAAAAUGACAUUUAAAGGCAAAUAAAAGGACUAGAGAUGCUCGGCAAGUGCACGGGUGAGCUGAGUGUGAGCCUUAGGAGCCCCAAAUGCUCACCAAGUGCACUUGUGAGCUGAGUGUGAGCUGAGUGUGAGCUGAGUGUGAGCUGAGUGUGAGCCUUAGGAGCCCUACGACCUGAGGAGAGAGCUGACUCCACAUGCUGACCUCUCACCCUCCAGAGAGAAAGAAAGCGCCACUAACAAACAUUUGAAGGUUUUAUUUUAAUUAUCUGUGCAGGGACAUGUGCACACUCGUGCAGGUACCCAUGAAGACUCGAGGUACUAAAGCCCUCUGUGCCAGAGUCCUAAGAGGUGGUGAGCCACCUGAUGUGCAUCCAAGGACUGAACUCAGGGCCUCUGGAAGCUCAGCAUGUGCUCUUAACCAUGGUGCCAUUUCUCCAGCCCUUCCAUUUUUUUUAAAGUUAAAGUUUUCUGCACACAGCUCAUUUGAGCCCAGGCAUAAAAAGUUUACCUGCUGAUAUCUGAGAGCUUUUAUUUUAUUUUAUUUUUUAAAUCUACC
rnacentral:lncRNA from 1 species